GGCAGUGGUAGCUCAGUGGUUAAAACAUUUGACUACCUAACAGAAGGUUGUGAGUUCAAAUCUCAGUGUUGCCA